GCCGUUGAACUCUGCGAAACGUAAGGUCCGGGAUGGCGACCAAGCGGCUGGCACGUUUGAAGCCUUGCUCUUGGAACAUGGACAGGACCUCUGAAUACCACGGUCUUUUGCAGGACAGCUGUAUGACUACUUAAUUGUUGUUGAUUUUGAGUCUACCUGCUGGAAUGACGGGAAGCACCACAGUAGCCCUGAAAUAAUUGAAUUUCCAGCAGUUUUGUUGAAUACAGCGACUGGAGAGAUAGAAUCUGAGUUUCAUGCUUACGUUCAGCCUCAAGAACAUCCAAUUCUUUCUGAAUUUUGCACAGAAUUGACAGGGAUAAAACAGGUUCAAGUUGAUGAAGGAGUCCCCCUGAAGAUCUGCUUAUCUCAGUUCUGUAAAUGGAUUCAUAAGCUUCAGCAGCAGAAGAAAAUCAGUUUCGCUACUGGGGACUCAGAGCCUUCUACUCCUGAAGUGAAGCCCUGUGCUUUUGUUACCUGGUCAGACUGGGACUUGGGCGUUUGUCUAGAGUAUGAGUGUAAAAGAAAGCAGCUAUUGAAACCUGUGUUCUUAAAUUCUUGGAUCGAUCUCAGAGCAACUUACAAGCUUUUUUAUAACAGAAAACCCAAAGGACUAAGUGGUGCCUUGCAGGAAGUGGGAAUAGAAUUUUCAGGACGAGAACAUUCU
rnacentral:lncRNA from 1 species